rnacentral:rRNA from 1 species
GACGAACGCUGGCGGCGUGCUUAACACAUGCAAGUCGAACGGAAAGGCCCUGCUUGCAGGGUCCUCGAGUGGCGAACGGGUGAGUAACACGUGUGUGUUCUGCCCUUCACUUCGGGUUAAGCCUGGGAAACUGGGUCUAUUACCGGAUAGGCGUCAUUUUUAGUGUGAUGGUUGUACAGUUUUUUCGGUGUAGGAUGAGCUGGCGUCCUAUCAGCUUGUUGGUGGGGUAAUGGCCUACCAAGGCAGCGACCGGUAGCAGGCCUGAGAGGGUGGACGGCCAAAAGAGGACUGAGGUAGGGAGCAGACGCGAACGGGAGGCAGCGGAGGGGAAUAUUGGACAAUGGGAGCAAGCCUGAUGAGAAGAAGCAGGGAGGGGGAAGAAGGCCAUGGGGUUGGAAAGUGAAGUAGGUAGAGACGAAGCUAUUGUGACGGUACCUAGAGAAGAAGCACCGGCUAACUACGUG